GACAGAGGUGCCGAGCGUUAGGCGGAAUCACUGGGCUUAAAGCGUGUGUAGGCGGGGCGUUAAGUGCUUUGUGAAAUCCCACGGCUCACCCGUGGAACUGCUUGGCAUACUGGCGCUCUUGAGCCAUCUAGGGGCAACCGGAACAAACGGUGGAGCGGUGAAAUGCGUAGAGAUCCGGAGGAACACCGACGGCGUAAGCAGCGCCCUAAACGAGUACUGACGCUCAGGCACGAAAGCUGGGGGAGCAAACAGG
rnacentral:rRNA from 1 species